ACGAGGGUUGAAAUCCUCUGCAGUACCGUACGGUGCUGUUGUGUCGAUGACAUGUGGGAUCAGGUCCCACAUGGCAGUGACUGUACAACAUCGUACAGUACUGCAGAGGAUCCUAACCCUCC
rfam:Triticum aestivum genome assembly, contig: Triticum_aestivum_CS42_TGACv1_scaffold_406545_5BL